AUGCCCCGGGCCCCGGCACGCAGCGGCGGGGGCUCCUCCCCGCGGGGAAGAUGCCCCGGGCCCGGGUCGCGGAAGGGCGGGCGUGGCCCAGGGAAUCCCGCGAAGCCGCCCCAGCGCCUGCCGGCGGGGCGCCCCGGGCUUUCCCCGCCGCCGGGUGCGCGGCGCCCGCCCGGCGCGGACCCUCCUGCCCCGCGGAGCGCGAGCCCCGGAGCCAAGCAGGAUCCCCUCGCGUCCUCCCGCCGCCUCCCCCGGGGCUUUCGCGCUGGAGACGGUGAAGGGAGUCAGGGAUGUGAGGACGGGGGGAGACGCCGGGAGCUGCCGCCCGCCGGGGAGACCCUCCUCUCCGCCGAGGGGAGGGGGACCGCCAGCCACAGAUCAUUGGCGAAGGGGACCGUCGCGGGGAGAGGAGCCCCGGAGGGAGCGGGGGAUCCCACGACCCUGCGUGGCGCCCGAGCCGUGCCGCCGGCCAGCGGGGUCGGUGGGAGCAGUCGCGCCGGUGGACAUGCCUGCCUCGGAGGGCCACCGCCGCGGCUGACCCUCCCGCAGCUCAUCCUUCGGAGGAUCGUGGCUCC
rnacentral:lncRNA from 1 species